UGCCGGGUGUCGCCGUAAUACAAGACGCACGAAGCGGAAUAAGGCGGGGUGUUCUUACCACUUUUCUAGCGCCCGGCUUUCACAUA
rnacentral:ncRNA from 1 species